rnacentral:rRNA from 1 species
GAUGAACGCUGGCGGCGUGCUUAACACAUGCAAGUCGAACGAGAAGUGAAGACGGUAACCUUCGGGCGGAAGGCUUUAUUUCGAGUGGCGGACGGGUGAGUAACGCGUGGGUAACCUGCCUCAUACAGGGGGAUAACAGUUGGAAACGACUGUUAAUACCGCAUAAGACCACAGCACCGCAUGGUGCGGGGGUAAAAACUCCGGUGGUAUGAGAUGGACCCGCGUUCGAUUAGCCAGUUGGCGGGGUAACGGCCCACCAAAGCGACGAUCGAUAGCCGAUCUGAGAGGAUGACCGGCCACAUUGGGACUGAGACACGGCCCAAACUCCUACGGGAGGCAACAGUGGGGAAUAUUGCACAAUGGGGGAAACCCUGAUGCAGCGACGCCGCGUGAGUGAAGAAGUAUUUCGGUAUGUAAAGCUCUAUCAGCAGGGAAGAAAAUGACGGUACCUGAGUAAGAAGCCCCGGCUAACUACGUG